GUGAAUCAUCAAAUUUUUGAACGCAAACUGCACUCUCCUCGGAGAGUAUGCCUGUUUGAGGGUCAGCCUAUAAAAAAUCGACAUCGUUGCUGUUUCGCGGUGGCGUUCGUCGGAAAUUGGGUCAUCUUAAAUCUUUUGGUUUUAAGCGACUUAAAAUUUUCCUUUUGGUUCCAUGAACGUUUCUAAGAUUUAUUUCUUUACACGUUUAAGGUAUCGAUUUUUCUUAGCCUUGCCAAUCUACCCGGAUCGCUCCCUUA
rnacentral:misc_RNA from 1 species